UAAAUAUGUAACAUAUAAGAUAACAAGAAGAUAUUUAUCAUUAACAUACACAACUGAUAAUGAACAAAACAAUAUCACUUUGACAAAAUGACAAAAGCAACAAAUAGUUCAUUAAUGGUACGAAUUAACUGCACCAGUUACCAAUUAAGAUGUAUAAUUCAAUAUUACAUGUGGUGUAGCAUUCUACUCUUUUUAUUGAAUAUGACGAUCACGUGUUUAAGGAUUAUUUUACGUAUUUGAAGCCUUGUUUCUAUUAAUACGUAUAUUGAUGGUCUAUAUGAAAAUAUUACUAAAUUUAGAUUUGUGACGUCAUGAGGUCAUAAUGGAAACAAGUUGUAAAAAGCAAUAGAAAGACCAGAGUUAAUGCUAUCAUGAAUCUACAUGUAGGAGACAUAUGUAUUUCUGGUGAGCAAAAUGUCAUGGAAGGCGUGAAACAGCACUUUAUAAACUUUGCAACUCCAGAGGAAUCUACAGUCUUAGAGAAUAGAUAAUAUCACCAGGAAGUAGAAUAUGGAAUAGGAUUAAUUACAGAUUUGGUGAAGGAUAAUAAUAUAUCACCGGCCACACUAGAAGAACUACAAAAGGCCAUCAAAUCAAUUAAUAAAGGAAAAUCAUCUGAUAUCUAUGGAAUCACUGUCGAACAUAAAUUGCAUGCAGGAAACAAUUUGGAAAUGUUGCUACUGAACCUCAUCAACAUAAUAUUCAAAAAAGGCAAGGUGUCAGACAUGCUAAAGGAGGGAUUACUCACCCCCGUGUUAAGGAACAAAGGCGAGAAAAACAUAGCAAUUAAUUAUAGAGGAAUCACUGUAUUACCUGUGUUAAACAAAGUGAUAGAAACAAUUGUAAAAGUAAGGAUCAAUCAAUCCAGCAGUACUUACAACACAAAAUGUAACUCAACGAGGAUUAACAGCAGUCUCAGGACCAGCAAAUGCAGCAUUACCGGUUGACGAAAUAUACCAUGAAGCCAAAGAUAACAAUCAAGAAUAUGAACUUGUACUGUUGGACGCAAAAUCAACCUUUGAUGUAUUUAUUCAUUCCCAUCUUAUGAAGCGGCUCUAUCACAUGCUGGAAUUGGUGAUAAACACUGGACAAUCAUUCAGAGUAUGCACACAAAUGCAACAAGUGCAGGUAAAAGGAAUGGUAAAACUUCCGAGCUAUUUAAUGUACUACAAGGAGUACGCCAGAAAGGGGUCCUAAGUACGGAUCUAUACAAGCUUUACAUCAAUCCUCUACUUUACAUGCUGAAAACAUCAAAUGUAGGAUGUAGAAUUGGAAAUAUACUCUGCAAUACUAGCACAUGUGCAGAUGAUGUCGCACUCAAGAGCAACAAGACCACCGAUAUGCAAGUACAAAUUAAUAUGGCAAACACCUUUGCCGGCAUGAAAGGAUAUGAACUACAGAAAAAAAACGUCGCUUUUAACAUAAAACCUAAGCCUACAAAGAAAGAACCGCUGCUGGGAGAAUAUACAUUAAAUGAAGCUAUUAUGCCAAGAGUUGACUCAGCUAUGCAUUUAGGAAUAAUCCGAACGAACUCUUUGACGCAAAAUAUCUUAUCAAAUAUUGAGGAGAAUAUAAAAAAAAUCAUGAAGAAGUGCUUGUGCUCUACUUGGCAGUGGCUUCCAUGGUGAAAAUGGACUGGAU
rnacentral:lncRNA from 1 species